GGUCAUAAAAAGCUUCUGGCUUUUCUAUUGGUUACAGUUUCUUAGUCUGUCUUGUAUCACUAACCCUGGGAGAAGGCAGCAGCCUUGUCUGGAAGCAACUCUACAGAGAGAAGCCAUGUUCAGACAAUAACUACAAGAGCCUUAAGAGGAGGCUGCAGCCACUCCCAACACUUUUGACUUCAACCUCGUAAGACUCAAAGGCAAAAGCUCACACUGGACCAUGGCCAGAAUCCUGACCAGCAAAGACAAAAACUGUGAAAUAAUAAAAUGUUCAUUGCUUAGCAGCUAUACUUGGAGGAAAUUGCUAUAUGAUGAUAUAUAACUAAUACAGAUGUUCUAGAGGCCAGGAAGGCUGUAUUUUGAAAAACAUUAAUAGAAGAGAGACUGAGUGUCCCAGUGAAGAGAUUGCUUUAACAGGGUACGAUUCCUACGCACAUCAUCUUGUGAGAAAAGUCAUGGUCUACACUGAAGGUGAUGUCUGCACCUUAGCUCAUUCAGGACCACCAAGAUGCACAGCUCAGAGGUGAUGACAGAUUGUGUUCCAGGCAUGGUGCAAGAGACUGACAGAUAGAAAAACAUGCAUCUUUUUCUGAUUGAGCCAACAGGGCAAUAUGAAUAAGGAGAUUUCUAACCUUGAAAGUUAUUGGAAUGACAAUGAUUAUAUCCAGAAGUUAAAUACCUCAGAAAGGAGAUACUGUUUUACUACAUUUCGAAAAUUCCUAAUUCUACUUGUGGAUACUGCGUAG
rnacentral:lncRNA from 1 species